rnacentral:rRNA from 1 species
CGCGUAGGCGGCUUGGCAAGUGGAAGGUGAAAUCCCUCGGCUUAACCGAGGAACUGCCCUCCAAACUGCUUUGCUUGAGGCCGGGAGAGGUGAGUGGAAUUCCCAGUGUAGCGGUGAAAUGCGUAGAUAUUGGGAGGAACACCAGCGGCGAAGGCGGCUCACUGGACCGGUUCUGACGCUGAUGCGCGAAAGCGUGGGGAGCAAACG